rnacentral:sRNA from 1 species
AAAUGCUUUGCAUAGUAUCAUUUGCAGAAGCAUUAUCUACAGUUAAAGUAAAAACUUUCUUCUCAAUUCCCCAAUCUUUCAACAGCUCAUUAAGCUUCAUUGCUAUAGCUACUCCAGAAUGUGGAGGCGGGAAAGCACAGAAAGAUAAGAUCUUCGUUUUCAGAACACCAUCAACAUCUACAUAAUGAGCUGUUAAGCAAAUAUAACUUUCAACAGUUAAAGCUCUCCACAAAUCUGUUGUUAAGCAUAUUCUACCCGGGAUUAUAGCUAACUUUUCCUUAAGCUUAAUUUUCUCUCUUUCAUAAAUCUUGUAGACAUCAGAAGCUGCAGUAUUUCUGCUCCAAAAUUCUAUAUAAGGGUUAGCAUAUGUAAAGGCUUCUCUAAUUCUUUCAUAUUCGACAAACGAAUAUGGAAGAUUAUGUUGAACUAAAGCCACUGCAAUCAUUUCUCUAAAGACCAUCAUAUCCACCUUUCUGCUAAUUCUAGGUGUACUUCCAGGAGUCUUCUCACAAGAUCUCAUAUGACGAUUCAUGGUAUUAGUACCAUUUCGUCUCAGAUUCAAGUGAUAAGUCUGCUCACAAUAUUUGCAUGUAACCUCAGUUUUCCCAUUAGGAUAUUUCUGUCCUCUAUCGAAGUUUUUCCAGCAUGCAGCACGAAAUCUACUUACACUACUUUUACCUCUCUCAGCUGUCCCUGAAGAAGCAGUUUCAUGAGGUAGUAUCUGAUCCAUUUCUGGAUCUUCAUGGUCCAUUUCUUGAUCCUCAAGAUUAAAGUUGUCUUCAUCAACCAAGUUUUGAGUAUCCAAUUCCAUAUUUCUGAAACAAAUAAAGACAUACACACGUUUAGCAGUGAUAAACAAAUAAAGCAUGAACUUGACUAAAUCACUAGCCUUCUGGAAUAAUUAAGCAUGAACUUACAACACAAAGGGUCUCUACAUAUUGAUGUGCUUCAAUUCAUAAUGAAAUUCGAAAUGGCGAAACAUAAACAAAAUCUGAAAAGUGCCCAUUUGCUAGCUAGCUCUCCUCAUAUCCAAAAUUCACAAUUGAACUUUGGACAAACCCACAAGCUAGUAGAACUAACCGGAGUAGGAGUUGAGAGAGAGGUCGAGCUUGGUCGUCGCCGAGAGAGAGCUUUGUCGCCGGGAGAGAGAGCGUCGUUGCCGAGAGAGAGAGAAGAGAAGAAAAUUGAUGUGUUGAAAAAAUUGAUGGGCCAACCAUAAACCGUGUGGGCUAGCCCAUUAAACCCAUGGACAAAAUUGGUCUUUAGACCAUAUAGCCCGUUUUCAUUACGGGCCGACCAUGGACUGUCCAUAAUGUUGUGGACUGGGCUUAGCCCAUGGUCAGAUGACCAUUUGACACUUCUAGAUUGGACCAUGGUUUCACACAAGACGUCGAUUUUGUUCACAGUCCUCUCCGAUUAACAUCACCAAACUCGUCGACGUUGAGCACCUUCGGUUGAGAUGAUGAGCACGGUGGAUAAGAGAAGAAUUCCGGCGAUAAUAUCUUCCGAUUUGAUGAUAUAAACGCGUGAUGAUGAUGAUCCAAUCGUUCAAUCGCCAUCGUCGAGCGGAAUUCACAAGAGAGAGAAAACGAAAUCGAUAAAUGAAGAAAAAAACACGGGCAAAGAUGAUUUUUUU